UAUCAGGCUUCACACAUAACAUUGCCAAUGCCAGCCCUAGCUUACGCCACCUGAACAUCUGAGCCCCAUGAACUACAGUCGUCGUUUCAGCCACCUCACCACCGACAAAAGUAUUAGGUCGACGUCGGAUUUCACGAGUCACUCAAUUAGCCGCACUGCGAGAUAACGCUAGUCCUCAUCGUUUCGUCCGCCAGCCUCGCCGCUCUCCCUCUUCUAUUCCACCGUCGGUCGAGUGUGUGCAGUUGUCGCUAUGUUCGUUCUUCGGCAGAAUUGAUUCUUGGUUUAGAAGGGGGAUUUGCAACCAAAAGCGGGCUGUUCAGCGGAUUCGAGCUUGUUUCCGGCAAGAAUUUUGGUAUGAUUUGGGGCUUUAUAACUUUUCGGUUUGAGAGUAAUUUAUACGAAUUAAGUUAUUAAGAUUUGUUGUUGAUUUUGGCAUGAUUGAAUGCUUAGGAGUGUGAACCUAAAGGUUAAAAUUUAUUUUGGUUCAUGUACUAGGAUUUAUUUGAUUAUCAUGAAUGAAACCUUAUCUUCAUUCUUACUUUUCAGUUGAAGCAUUUACCACCAUACUUAUCUCUGCAUUUAACCAUUUUAUUUUAUUCUGCAGAGUCUGAAUGAUCUAUUUUUCACGAAUCUGAGGGCUUGUUAGUUUAGGAAUUAGCCAUGAAGAAUUGUAGCAUCUUCUGUAAUGAUUUUCUUGUUUGAAUGUUUGAUGAUGAGAUUGAUUUUGAAGUGUUGGAAGGAGUUGAGUUGCUAUUCAAUAGGUUUGAGACCGAUCUUGGCAAGGUUUUGGUAAGUUUGGAGGUUAGUAUUAAUAGUUCUUUGUUACCCAUUGAAGUAUUGGUCUAAUAAUUGAGUUAUUUUCAAUUUUUAAUGUUCAAUUCAAAGAUUUCUAGGGAUUGGAGUCACUAUUCAACAAAGUUAAUAAUGUUUGGACGUUUUGAUAGAUAUUAAGGUCUUGAAACUCUUUUGGAAUUGUUACAUAGUUGCUGGAAUUUGGUUUUAUAACCAUUAUUAUUAUUGAAAUUUUCGUUAGUUGGAUUACUUAGUUGUAGUUUUGAAGUGGCAUUCGAAUCAAGCCACACUUUCGAUAAUCUAUUUGAAGUUAAUUGGCUAUUUUGAUGAAUGAAAUUAGGUCCUAGGAGUUUACUUAAAUUUGGAUUUAUGAUUAUAGGUUAUAAUUCUGGACUUUUGUGGCAGAAACUUAUUUUUUUAAUUUGUAAUUUUUGCAUUUGUAAUUUUGCUAUCAUAUUUUUUAAAAUUUGUAACUAGAGUGGCUAGCCUUAGAUUCAAAUUAUUUUUAAAUGAAAACUUGCAUGUCUCUUAUUUGAUUCUAAUGAUGUGUUUCUAAUCUGGUGAUAGAUUUUGUUGAAGAGUGUAUGGUGAGACACAUUUGGUAAAAUUUCUUAUAUAUUUGAUUAAGUUUUAGCAAGAUUAACACAUUUCAUAUUCUGUUGAACUUAGACUUGUUGUGCUACUACUUAGUUGUGGGAAUGAGUGUUGCAUACAUAGAAAUUUUUUAUUGCUUGUAGAUAAGAUUGGGCUUCCAAUAUUCUCUUCUACUCAUUGAUUCCUGUAUUAGUUUUCUAUUAAAGAUGCACUUUGAUUGCCUUUAUAGAGGGAUUACAACUGUGUCAAGUCGCUUUCGCUUGAAAGUUGUGAAAGUUGGGGGAAAAGUAUUUGCGUUUUUCUAUUUUAAAUUUUAGCAUAUGCUUGAUUUGUUGAUAAUCUUCUUCCUCUUUAUUUUAUUUUCUCAAAUCUCUCCCAUCUUCUUCCUUUGUUUUGCAGCUAAAAGUAAUUGUUCCUCCCGGAGUUGGAUAUGGUCAAAAGAGAAUGAAUGAAAUCCCAGCAAGUCUCUAAUUUUAAGUUGCAGGUAUUUUUUAAGUUUCGAGUAUGAUAUUUUUUCAUUGUAUAAAGUAAACCAAUCAUGUAAAUUUUUCCUUGUGUGUGACUUUUUGUCAUUGUUGUAUCUUAACAAUUAUUUCUAUAUUUUGAAAUUUGAUGUUAUCGCCAUUUAUUCUAUUUUACAAGUUGACUUUUUGUCAUUGUUGUAUCUUAACAAUUAUUUCUAUAUUUUGAAAUUUGAUGUUAUCGCCAUUUAUUCUA